rnacentral:ncRNA from 1 species
UGCUUGAGAGGUGAGAUCAAUUCAUGUAUAAUGAAAGCCAGAGCGGUUUAUGCCAAUCUGGGCCAUGGUGGUGUGUCGAAAGUAAUCAUUUUUAAUAUGCAAUAAGUGUGUCUAGACCAUCGAAUCCAGUAUUCCAGGACGAAACUGAACACCAUGAUGAUAACGGGUAACGGGGAAUCAGGGUUCGAUUCCGGAGAGGGAGCCUGAGAAAUGGCUACCACAUCCAAGGACGGCAGCAGGCGCGAAAAUUACCCAUUCCCGGCACGGGGAGGUAGUGACGAAAUAUACGGAUACGGGACUCAAUUGAGGCUCCGUAAUUUGAAUGAGUACAAUUUAAGGAGGACUGAUUGGAGGGCAAGUCUGGUGCCAGCAGCAGCGGUAACUCCAGCUCCAAA